CCGAUUUUCUCCGGCGAUUAGAAAUGCCAGUUGUUACAGCUUUCCUAUUGGCACAGGGCGGGGAUGCGACAGACACUCAUGAGCAUGUCAGGACUAGCGUACUGGACACAGAUGAUAGAUGAAGAUAAGACUUGAAGACGGGGCUCCAAGACAAGUCACCUGCUUCUUCUGUAACAUCGCCUAGACAGCCACCACCUGCUGACAACCACCCAAUGACAUGGGCCAAGCUACUAGCAGCACUCAGCCAAGGCACCACCUACAGGAGCUCUGAUUGGAGGAUUGCCCAGCUCCACUGAUUGGUCCAGCCAUGCUAUUUAAGCCAGAAGGAAGCACAAGAAAUAGUUGGAGGAACAAGGUGAUUUCCUGCUGUUGCUGCAUUGGCCCUGUUUCCUUCACCCAACCCUGUUCCUGCUGUGCUCUUGGCUCUCCACUGUUCCUAUUACCACUGUGAUCCUGCUCUGUGAUUGAUCCUGGCCUCUCCUCUAGUUCCUGCCCUUAUGCCUCUCUUGCAACCAUCAGUUAUCAGUCCUGGCUUGACCCUGGCCUUCAACUUCUGACUCCAGCUUCACUCUUGGCUCAAGAAUUUAGUAUCUGACUUUGGUUCUGAGCCUCAGCUUUGAUUCCACACUUGACCCCUGGCUCUGGUAAUUGUCGGCUGACUCUGGCUCUGAUCCUUUGCUUUGUUCCCCACGCUGGAUGCCUGCUCUGCCUUCUAAACCUGAUUCCUGCUCUGACCACUAGUCCAGACUGCUUUCAUCCCAGUCCAUUACAGGUCUGGGAAAAGGCACUCCUUUAGAUCUUAGGCCUCCAGCUAUCACCAGGUCCUAUGUUCUUCUCCAUUCAGACCAGGAGUCUAGGUUUGCCAUUCCCCAGCAAUGCACUAUGUUGAUCCCAGAAGAGUCCCUCACCUGCAAUUAACUCUGUCGCAGAGUGAAUGACUAGUUUACUAGUGACCAUCCAGCUUUCACAAAGCACAGUAGAUUUAUUUUAGGGCAAAAGCAUUACACAGAAAACAUCUUAAACGAUGAAGAGUUUAUACUUCUGAUAAUUUCCAGGUGUCACCCCUAUUUCAUGUGGAGAUCCUGAUAGGUAAUAGUCCUAUAGUUUUGUCAAUCUCAUGUCAGCUUUUUGUCAGCUCUGUGAGGGGAAUGUGGGGAGUGUCUUUCUUCUUCUCAGUUAGGGGCCACAGUGAAGGUUUUUUUCCCCGCUUCUUACUUGUGCAGCCCCCUGACUGAUUUUUCUGUGGGUCAGUGGCCCCCAACCCAAAAAAAGAUUCCCCACUCCUGCUUUAUGGCCUCACAUCUUUCAUAGUUCUUUUUCUAUAUUUGCUUGUUAUACUCCCCCCUCCUUUUACAUUUUGAUGGUUAAAUCUUGUUUGUUUUUUCAGAACUUUUGUCCAGUUUUCCAAGAUAGAAUCUAAGAAUAAACAAAGCCCUGGGUUAUGUACACUCUCCCAUUUUAGUAUCUUCCCACUGAUUUGCUGUUUUCCCAACUGGAUUGGGCAAUUGAGAAAGGGUGGCAUUCCAGGCAGCCUCCUAAGUUAAUGCCAUUCUAUUACUAAUUCUAUGUUUAUUUUUCACCAGUUUUGUAUCUGUUUGUAGAGAGCAAACCUGCCAAGUAUCAUGCAUCUCACUUGACAUUUCUGCACUUGGCAGGCCUGUCAUGCUCUCCUGCAGACAUUACAAAAUGACUUUUUUAAAAGAGAGAGAGAGAAACUCAGAAAAUGCAUUGCAGCCUAGGGUUGGGUCUACACGGCUCUUAUUUUGAAAUAGAGCACUCUUCCUCCCACUUCCCUUACUCCUCGUA